rnacentral:tRNA from 1 species
GCCUCGGUGGUUAAAUGGUGAAAGCGCUCGAUCGGAGAUCGGAAGAUUUAGAUUCCACUCUUAGCUGAGGUA